UUUUUUUACGCAGACUCCAUUUCUCUCUAUUCUCUCACAUGCGUCUCUCACUCUCGCUCUCCCUCUCGCCCGGCGAUGUCGCCGAUCCUCGGUGCCUCCGACGCGGCGAGGUCGGUGCCACUCUCAUAUUUUUCUUCAUUUCCUUCAUUUUCCCCCAAUUUUUAAUUCAAAAUCAACCUAGGGUUUCUAAUUUUCCCCCCUUCCACUCUUGUCAUCCGGUGAGUUUCGCCGCCACCAUUGUCCCCAUCGCACUGCCACCUACUCCAUCUCAGGAGUCCAUGAUUCAGGGUGUCUCUCGGAGUGGCUACUGCUCAAGAUCCAAUUUUUAUAUGUGAUAAAUCCGUUUCUUUAUUGUUAUUAAGAAAUUGGGACUGUGUUUAUGAAGUCAGAAUUGGAUAUGUGAUUAUAGUUAUUAUUCAU